CGGCGAACGGGUGAGUAACACGUGGGUGAUCUGCCUCGCACUCUGGGAUAAGCCUGGGAAACUGGGUCUAAUACCGGAUAUGAGCAUGGUCUGCAUGGACUGUGUUGGAAAGGUUUACUGGUGCGAGAUGGGCCCGCGGCCUAUCAGCUUGUUGGUGGGGUAACGGCCUACCAAGGCGACGACGGGUAGCCGGCCUGAGAGGGCGACCGGCCACACUGGGACUGAGACACGGCCCAGACUCCUACGGGAGGCAGCAGUGGGGAAUAUUGCACAAUGGGCGAAAGCCUGAUGCAGCGACGCCGCGUGAGGGAUGACGGCCUUCGGGUUGUAAACCUCUUUCGACAGGGACGAAGCGCAAGUGACGGUACCUGUAGAAGAAGCACCGGCCAACUACGUGCCAGCAGCCGCGGUAAUACGUAGGGUGCGAGCGUUGUCCGGAAUUACUGGGCGUAAAGAGCUUGUAGGCGGUCUGUCGCGUCGAUUGUGAAACCUCACAGCUCAACUGUGAGCCUGCAGUCGAUACGGGCAGACUAGAGUACUUCAGGGGAGACUGGAAUUCCUGGUGUAGCGGUGAAAUGCGCAGAUAUCAGGAGGAACACCGGUGGCGAAGGCGGGUCUCUGGGAAGUAACUGACGCUGAGAAGCGAAAGCGUGGGUAGCGAACAGGAUUAGAUACCCUGGUAGUCCACGCCGUAAACGGUGGGUACUAGGUGUGGGUUUCCUUCCACGGGAUCCGUGCCGUAGCUAACGCAUUAAGUACCCCGCCUGGGGAGUACGGCCGCAAGGCUAAAACUCAAAGGAAUUGACGGGGGCCCGCACAAGCGGCGGAGCAUGUGGAUUAAUUCGAUGCAACGCGAAGAACCUUACCUGGGUUUGACAUACACCGGAAAGCCGUAGAGAUACGGCCCCCCUUGUGGUCGGUGUACAGGUGGUGCAUGGCUGUCGUCAGCUCGUGUCGUGAGAUGUUGGGUUAAGUCCCGCAACGAGCGCAACCCUUAUCUUAUGUUGCCAGCGCGUAAUGGCGGGGACUCCGUGAGAGACUGCCGGGGUCAACUCGGAGGAAGGUGGGGACGACGUCAAGUCAUCAUGCCCCUUAUGUCCAGGGCUUCACACAUGCUACAAUGGCCGGUACAGAGGGCUGCGAUACCGUGAGGUGGAGCGAAUCCCUUAAAGCCGGUCUCAGUUCGGAUCGGGGUCUGCAACUCGACCCCGUGAAGUUGGAGUCGCUAGUAAUCGCAGAUCAGCAACGCUGCGGUGAAUACGUUCGCCGGGCCUUGUACACACCGCCCGUCACGUCAUGAAA
rnacentral:rRNA from 1 species